rnacentral:rRNA from 1 species
AAUGAACGUUGGCUGCAUGGAUUAGGCAUGCAAGUCGAGCGAGAAGUGUAGCAAUACACGGAAAGCGGCGGAAGGGAGAGUAAUACGUGGGAAUCUGCCCUUAGACCUGGGAUAGCAGCGGGAAACUGCUGGUAAUACCAGAUAAUGUCUAUGGAACAAAGGUGUGAUUCCGUCUAGGGAUGAGCCCACGUCCUAUUAGCUAGUUGGUAGGGUAAUGGUCUACCAAGGCGAUGAUGGGUAGAGGGUGUGGGAGCAUGACCCGCCUCACUGGGACUGAGACACUGCCCAGACACCUACGGGUGGCUGCAGUAGAGAAGCUUCGGCGAUGGGCGCAAGCCUGACCGAGCGAUGCCGCGUGCGGGAUGAAGGCCUUCGGGUUGUAAACCGCUGUCGAGGGGGAGCAACUUCCAUAGAGUUAUCUUUAUGGAUUGAGUGAUCCCUGGAGGAAGGACGGGCUAAGUUCGUGCCAGCAGCCGCCGUAAUAC